CUGAGGACGAUUCACCACCGCUUAUAUAUGACGAGAUCCUUUGAUCUCAGGAGUGGGUGUGUGUUAUAGAUCACAGGAAGGUGCCCACCAGAUCGCAGGAGGGUGUUCACCAGAUCACAGGAUCACAGGAGUGUGUUCACCAGAUCACAGGAUCACAGGAGUGUGUUCACCAGAUCACAGGAGUGUGUUCACCAGAUCACAGGAUCACAGGAGUGUGUUCACCAGAUCACAGGAGUGUGUUCACCAGAUCACAGUAGGGUGUUCACCAGAUCACCGGUGGGUGUUCACCAGAUCACAGGAUCACAGGAGUGUGUUCACCAGAUCACAGGAGUGUGUACACCAGAUCACAGGUUGGAAGCAGCAGCAGUCGUCUGUUGUUUUUUAAGGGCUGCAGAUGAUCGUUUUAUUGAUCGACUGAUCAGGGCCUCCCUUCAGCCUGGAUGAUCAAAAUCUAUGAUCGACGAGCACCUCGCUCAGGCCAAACGGGGGAGUAUUAAUAAAUGUGUGGGCAGGAAGAAGAAAACCCAAACACCCCUCGGUCGUGGCGAGUCGAUGUGUCACUCACCGAGUUUCAUGAGCAGCGCCAGGAGGAUCCACAGGGAGAUCUCGAAGGGCUGCCGGACGUGCUCGUAGUUGAAGGAGAGGACGGGGAAAGCCUUCUUGUGGCAGCUCGUCCAGAAGCUGAGCCACAGAUCAGCUGACAUCUGCUGGAGCGGAGGAGCACGACAACCACCAGGGCCAGGCAGCCCAUGACUCAGUGCCUUCACUUCCCCAGGGGCAGACAAAGUAUUCAGAUCCUGUACGCAUGGUUUGAAGUCGUCGGGUCCUCGGGGGACGUGAUCGGCGCCCGGCAGGGAUCCAGAGGAUGCGGCCGCGCUCCCCCUCAGCCUCACCGACGACCUCGUGAAGCCCCUCGGCCGCCUGAACAAACAGUGGCCGCCUGUCGCACCAGAGAAGAGGCUCCUGUGUGUCCCUGCUCUUUUGUGAAGCCCCAGUCUGAUGGGCUCAACACACACACACACACACACACACACACACACGAGGCUGCAUGAAAAGCCCGGCCUGUCAGAGGCGAUCUGGUCACCCAGCCUGUACAGAGGGUGAGAGUGGGAGAGGCGGCUCGGUGCAGCAUGUUGCACGCUCCAAGGAACAUUUGUGUUAAUGCGCUGCAGUGACUUAUGUAACCCCAACAAAAAACACAAAAGAGAGGAAUCACUUUUUAACAACUGUAUGGAAAUAAACCUUCCGAGGGGCCGUGACCGACAAAUACGACGACGUGGAGCCCUCGGACGAGAGCGUCAACCUCCACUGGACAUAAUGAGACUGAAUAUUGUUUUGAUAUUGAAAGUAAUUCAGAGUGGCUGUUACAUAAAGCCUCUGUUUCCAUGAUCGAUU